rnacentral:sRNA from 1 species
AGCUUUAGUAGUAGGUCUUUUGUGCCAACUGGCGGCUAUUUGGAGCGACUCGUGGGUCGUGGUUGACAGAUAUGUAUAUCCUUACUGGGACUCGUUGAAGGACAAGGUCAUCUACGGAAUAAACUCAAACGCCACAUCAUGGUUUCUUGUGGAGAAGAUAGCCAACGCUGGGCUGUGGCGGGCGUGCUAUUUCUUCCCCCACCUCCCCUACAAACAUACAAGUUCAUAUUGUGCUGACUUCUUUGACGACUAUCGACCAGAACGGUGGUUCACCAUCCUUCAACUUCUGUGCCUACUCAGCCCAGCACUAUCACUCCUUGGCUCCCUUCACCUGGCCGCGAUUGUCCCAGCCUGUUGUUUUAAAGAGACUUUACACUGGUUAGGCACUCGUUUGCUAGUGGCUGGUGG